rfam:Epulopiscium sp. SCG-B11WGA-EpuloA1 SCGB11WGA_61, whole genome shotgun sequence.
AGUAAGGUCAGCUAAGUUAAGCUCUCGGGCCCAUACCCCGAACAUGUUGGUUAAACUCCUUCCUUUACUA